GACGAACGCUGGCGGCGUGCUUAACACAUGCAAGUCGAACGGAAAGGCCCUGCUUUUGUGGGGUGCUCGAGUGGCGAACGGGUGAGUAACACGUGAGUAACCUGCCCUUGACUUUGGGAUAACUUCAGGAAACUGGGGCUAAUACCGGAUAGGAGCUCCUGCUGCAUGGUGGGGGUUGGAAAGUUUCGGCGGUUGGGGAUGGACUCGCGGCUUAUCAGCUUGUUGGUGGGGUAGUGGCUUACCAAGGCUUUGACGGGUAGCCGGCCUGAGAGGGUGACCGGCAACAUUGGGACUGAGAUACGGCCCAGACUCCUACGGGAGGCAGCAGUGGGGAAUAUUGCACAAUGGGCGGAAGCCUGAUGCAGCAACGCCGCGUGCGGGAUGACGGCCUUCGGGUUGUAAACCGCUUUCGCCUGUGACGAAGCGUGAGUGACGGUAAUGGGUAAAGAAGCACCGGCGAACUACGU
rnacentral:rRNA from 1 species